rnacentral:rRNA from 1 species
CAUAUGAGCGUGGCACCGCCGCGUUAUGUACCAAUACCAGAGGGUCAUUUUUCCAACCCCAUGGAGAAUUUAAUCGCAGCAUCUGCGUGUUUGGCGGCUCUUCCAGUGGAUGGCGAUGACCCAACAACGGUGGAGACCCGAAGGAUCAGGGAACUCGUUCAGACAGCCCUGGCUCAGCAAGAGAUCUAUUCUUAUAAUCGGGAUAAAGUUCAUUCAGCUCCUCCUCCUUGGAUGGCACCACCUCGUCAGAACCGGAAUCAGAGUUACAACAGGCACAUAGGAUCUGAAGUUUUGUCACGCAACGUCCAACGCCGUAACCAACGUGGAGGCUCUAACCCGGUGCAAGAUCGGGUACGUCGGGAGAAAGAGCGAGCGGCUCAGCUGGCGGCUCAA